CAGCAGCCACGGUAAUACGUAGGGUGCGAGCGUUAAUCGGAAUUACUGGGCGUAAAGCGUGCGCAGGCGGUGAUGUAAGACAGAUGUGAGAUCCCCGGGCUCAACCUGGGAACUGCAUUAGUGACUGCAUCGCUGGAGUGCGGCAGAGGGGGAUGGAAUUCCGCGUGUAGCAGUGAAAUGCGUAGAUAUGCGGAGGAACACCGAUGGCGAAGGCAAUCCCCUGGGCCUGCACUGACGCUCAUGCACGAAAGCGUGGGUAGCAAACAGGAUUAGAUACCCCAGUAGUCCCUGUCUCUUAUAA
rnacentral:rRNA from 1 species